CGCCUACGGGGGGCAGCAGUGGGGAAUAUUGCACAAUGGGGGAAACCCUGAUGCAGCGACGCCGCGUGAGUGAAGAAGUAUUUCGGUAUGUAAAGCUCUAUCAGCAGGGAAGAAAAUGACGGUACCUGACUAAGAAGCCCCGGCUAACUACGUGCCAGCGGCCGCGGUAAUACGUAGGGGGCAAGCGUUAUCCGGAUUUACUGGGUGUAAAGGGAGCGUAGACGGUUGUAUAAGUCUGGAGUGAAAGCCCGGGGCCCAACCCCGGGACUGCUUUGGAAACUGUGUAACUUG
rnacentral:rRNA from 1 species